GAUCAUGGCUCAGGAUGAACGCUAGCUACAGGCUUAACACAUGCAAGUCGAGGGGCAGCAUGGUCUUAGCUUGCUAAGGCCGAUGGCGACCGGCGCACGGGUGAGUAACGCGUAUCCAACCUGCCUUACACUCUUGGACAGCCUUCUGAAAGGGAGAUUAAUACAAGAUGUUAUCAUGAGUAAGCAUUUUCGCAUGAUUAAAGGUUUACCGGUGUAAGAUGGGAGUGCG
rnacentral:rRNA from 1 species